rnacentral:rRNA from 1 species
AGUGAACGCUGGCGGUAGGCCUAACACAUGCAAGUCGAACGGCAGCACAGUAAGAGCUUGCUCUUACGGGUGGCGAGUGGCGGACGGGUGAGGAGUACAUCGGAAUCUACUUUUUCGUGGGGGAUAACGUAGGGAAACUUACGCUAAUACCGCAUACGAUCUACGGGUGAAAGCAGGGGAUCUUCGGACCUUGCGCGAUUGAAUGAGCCGAUGUCGGAUUAGCUAGUUGGCGGGGUAAAGGCCCACCAAGGCGACGAUCCGUAGCUGGUCUGAGAGGAUGAUCAGCCACACUGGAACUGAGACACGGUCCAGACUCCUACGGGAGGCAGCAGUGGGGAAUAUUGGACAAUGGGCGCAAGCCUGAUCCAGCCAUACCGCGUGGGUGAAGAAGGCCUUCGGGUUGUAAAGCCCUUUUGUUGGGAAAGAAAAGCAGCAGGUUAAUACCCCGCUGUUCUGACGGUACCCAAAGAAUAAGCACCGGCUAACUUCGUG